AUGCCAUACAAUGAACAUUCCAUUCAAUUUAAUUAUUUUUAGUUACACAUGUAGCCCCUUUCAUUAAAGAAAAAGAGGCAUCCACUGGGUUAAGCGCAGAAAAAUAUAAGGAUGCAGCAAGGUUAGCACAUCCAACAAAACAGUUCACCGAAGUAAAUCAGAUUGCUGACUUGGUACUGUUCCUUUGUUCCCCAGCAGGGAAAAACAUGACAGGAACAGCUAUUGGAUAGGGGAAUCACAGUCUCCUGAACAGAGGAACAGAGAUAAGCGAGAUAAAAGUUAAAGCAGAAUGGAGUAACAAAUACAUGUAGACAGGCAGACAUGCUCUGUAAAAUAAAAAUGAUUCUGUUGUUUUU